UUUGGCAGCUAGCUCUCUGCAACUCUCACAUGGUCGCCCACUGAAGCUAAGCAGGGCUGCGCCCGGUCAGUACCUGGAUGGGAGACCACAUGGGAAAGCUAGGUUGCUGCCGGAA
rnacentral:rRNA from 1 species